UACAGAGGUCUCAAGCGUUGUCCGGAAUUAUUGGGCGUAAAGAGCUCGUAGGCGGUCUGUUGCGUCUGCUGUGAAAACCCGGGGCUUAACCCCUGGCUUGCAGUGGAUACGGACAGACUAGAGGUAGGUAGGGGAGAAUGGAAUUCCCGGUGUAGCGGUGAAAUGCGCAGAUAUCGGGAGGAACACCGGUGGCGAAGGCGGUUCUCUGGGCCUUACCUGACGCUGAGGAGCGAAAGCGUGGGGAGCGAACAGG
rnacentral:rRNA from 1 species